AGUGAACGCUGGCGGUAGGCCUAACACAUGCAAGUCGAACGGCAGCACAGUAAGAGCUUGCUCUUACGGGUGGCGAGUGGCGGACGGGUGAGGAAUACAUCGGAAUCUACUUUUUCGUGGGGGAUAACGUAGGGAAACUUACGCUAAUACCGCAUACGACCUACGGGUGAAAGCAGGGGAUCUUCGGACCUUGCGCGAUUGAAUGAGCCGAUGUCGGAUUAGCUAGUUGGCGGGGUAAAGGCCCACCAAGGCGACGAUCCGUAGCUGGUCUGAGAGGAUGAUCAGCCACACUGGAACUGAGACACGGUCCAGACUAUUACGGGAGGCAGCAGUGGGGAAUAUUGGACAAUGGGCGCAAGCCUGAUCCAGCCAUACCGCGUGGGUGAAGAAGGCCUUCGGGUUGUAAAGCCCUUUUGUUGGGAAAGAAAAGCAGCAGGUUAAUACCCCGCUGUUCUGACGGUACCCAAAGAAUAAGCACCGGCUAACUUCGUG
rnacentral:rRNA from 1 species